rnacentral:lncRNA from 1 species
UCCUCUCCCACAGUCCCUUGCAAAACUCAAAGUCGCACCAAAAUUUCCACCGUAGACGGACGAUUUCCAUUUGAAUACUAUCGAACAUUUUCCAUCUUUAAGGUUUCGUAUCGCUCAUAAAUAAUUUUAUUAUUAACAGUUAGUGCGAUUCUUCUGCAGGUUUCUAAAAAUUUCAAAAUUUAAUGCAGCCCUAAUUUCAUGCUUUUCGUGAAUUUAUAUUGGGUGGAUUAAUUCAAUUCAUGCGUGUAUUAAUCAUAUAAUAUUAGGUUAUACAGCCUUUGUUGAAAUGGCGACCGAAGGAUUGUCUGAGGAAAUCCGUCUAGAGGACGGAAAGUCCGAGCACGCGAAUUGUAGUAACGAAGCAAACGGGAAGGCUGUGCAAGAAGAGGUUGAGGAUAAAAUUGAUGACCUAACAGUGGAUGAGCCACAAGGUAAUUUUUUUUGGAUGUAUGCUUCGUUUUUCAAUACUGGUUUUUGAGUUUGUUAAGGAUUUUGAUGGAAAAUGGGAUAAAGCUCAUGCCCUUUUUGGUGUAUGGUGAAGUUCAUUUGCAAUUUAGUUAAGAAAAAGAAGUGUUUGUAUGUGUUUGGGAAAGUCAACUGAUUUUACUUGGACUUGGAAAGGAAGGACAAUGAUUAAUUGAGAAAGGCCCAAACUAAGAAAAUUUUGUGUGACCCAGUACUGAUAAAAUAGUUGUCUAUCUUAAAGUUGUUCAAAUUUGCAAUGAAAUAUCUGAACUUGAUUCUUUGUUAAAGAUUCUAAUUGAUGCCACUGCAUUCUGCUCUAUUUAAAGAUUCUCCAAUCGUGUUCUAAAUUUGGGUGUAAAUUGGCAUCUUCAAAAUUUACUUUUGCAUUCCCAUUUACAUCUCGGUGGAUCUAAAUUCAAUUCUUGCUCUAAUAGAAUGGUGUAAAUUACAAUAUACAAAUUUCAUUUUUUUUCAUGUUGAAUUGUGUUUUAUAUAUAUAUAUAUAUAUAUUACGAACAAACUGACCUAAAAAUUUCAAAAUUUGGUUAGGAAGACAUAAAUCCUUCUCAUCUCAACAUUAAAUGAGUCAAGUUAAUGUCUUCAGUCUUAUAUCUUCUAUCUUUGGUUAAGAAAGCAUAAAUUCGUCCCAUCCCAACAUUAAAUGAGCCAAGUUAAUUUCUUAUGUCUUUUGCCAAGUUAAAAGUAAAUUUUCUUUAAAAGGUGACAUACGGUGAGGUUGGGUAUGUACAUAUACGGUAUGUUCUUGCAUAAAUGGUAUGCUCAUGCAUAUACAGUAUGUCAUGCUGUGCAUAUAUGGUAAGGACAUCUUUGCAUUAACGGUAAUGUGUUGCAUGUACGGUAUGAUGAUGUAAAUACCGUAACUUUUUUGCAUAUACGGUAACUAGGCAAAAAUUUAUUCCUUGAAGUGGGUUUGAUUUGAGGUUCUUCUGGAGACGAGUAUUAAUAUUAUAAAAUUUAAAAUACAGACGAUGAUCCCAACCUCAUUGAUCAUAAGAUCCAGAAGGAAAACCAGGUCAAUAGAUAUCAUUAUCUUUGUUAAAUUUAAUUUCACGCCUUGAACAGAAUUUCUUCAAAAAAAUUUCUUGUUCAUGCUUCCAGUAGGAUGCUCUUUCUGGAGUCAUAUCAUUUGUUUUAACCAUCAUAAUCUCAUGCUCCUCUUUUUUGCCAAUAUCAUCUCGUAAGAAUUGACAGCUUCAACAUGUUAGAGAACUAUUAUCACCGUGUUCUUUAUCUUUAUGUUUAACCUCUUUCGCAGCCUUCCCUUCAGCCUUGGACGAUAGUUUCGAGUUUUCGGCACACUUUCCACUUCCAGCCUAUCAUCAUCUUCUAAAUUGACAGGAAUGGUUGGCGACGUAGUAUUGGAUGGAGGAGUGUCUAUCAAAAUUCUAAACUUAAUUGCAUCCUUAACAAUUGGCCAACAAUGAUCUAAACAAAAAACCCCACUUUCUGCAUGGUACAUCCUUUCUGCUAGCCUUAUCUGGGAGCAUGAUAAAAUUGAAAUACAAUUUAGUUAAAUUUAAAAAGAAUAUGAACAACAAAAUUUGGUAAAGAUUGGCACCUUGUCUUGCCCACUAGUUCCACUCUUGCUAGCGUUGGCCGCUUCGUGAAGAAGUUCCCCAAACCUUUUGUAUCUUGGUCAAAUGUGAUUCCAUUGGCAUUUGAAGUUAUUAACAUUUCUCUCGCUCUUGCACUUUUCAUAGAACACUACACGAACCCUUUCCCAAAAGGAAUGUUGAUGUUGCGAGUUGCCAAUAAUUGGAUCUUCACUUAUCGCAAUAUAGGCUUUGCAUAAAGCUUUGUCUUCAUCUAUGUCGAAAUUUGGCAAUUUGAAUUUAUUGGAUCCUUUGCCCUCUUUCAUUUCUAAAUAAUUAAAUACUUACAAAAAUAGCAAAUGAAAUAUAUAGAACAAGAUUUUUAUGUGAAAAUUGAGGGCAAACUGAAUUGGAAAUGCUUUAAAUGAUACGUCUAUAUAGAAAAAUUAUGCUAUGUAAUGCAAAUA